rnacentral:lncRNA from 1 species
CCCACGACUCCAACCUCAAAGAGGACUCCGCCCGGACUCCCACGGGAGCCGGGCUCCAUCGCCAACUUCGACUGCCGGUAAGAUCAGUCCGGACUCCUACGGGAGCCGGACUUCGCACCUGAGUUUGAUUGCAAGGGACUCCGCCUUGACUCCUACGGGAGCCGGGCUCUGCUCGCGACUUCAGCUCCAAGAGGACUCCGCCCGGACUCCCACGGGAGCCGGACUCUGCCUAUGACUCCAACCUCAAGGAGGACUCCGCCCGGACUCCCACGGGAGCCGGGCUCUGUCGCCAACUUCGACUGCUGGUAAGAUCAGUCCGAACUCCUACGGGAGCCAGACUUCGCACCUGACUUUGAUUGCAGGGGACUCCGCCCGGACUCCUACGGGAGCCGGGCUCCGCCCGCGACUUCAGCUCCAAGAAGACUCCGCUCGGACUCCCACGGGAGCCGGACUCCGCCCAGGACUCCAACCUCAAGGAGGACUCCACCCGGACUCCCACGGGAGCCGGGCUCCAUUGCCAACUUUGACUGCCGGUAAGAUCAGUCCGGACUCCUACGGGAGCCGGACUUCGCACCUGACUUUGAUUGCAGGGGACUCCGCCCGGACUCCUACGAGAGCCGGGCUCCGCCCGCGACUUCAGCUACAAGAGGACUCCGCCCGGAC